CAGCCGCCGCGGUAAUACAGAGGGUGCGAGCGUUAAUCGGAUUUACUGGGCGUAAAGCGUGCGUAGGCGGCUUCUUAAGUCGGAUGUGAAAUCCCUGAGCUUAACUUAGGAAUUGCAUUCGAUACUGGGAAGCUAGAGUAUGGGAGAGGAUGGUAGAAUUCCAGGUGUAGCGGUGAAAUGCGUAGAGAUCUGGAGGAAUACCGAUGGCGAAGGCAGCCAUCUGGCCUAAUACUGACGCUGAGGUACGAAAGCAUGGGGAGCAAACAGGAUUAGAUACCCCCGUAGUCCCUGUCUCUUAUAA
rnacentral:rRNA from 1 species